CCUACGGGAGGCAGCAGUGAGGAAUAUUUGUCAAUGGACGAGAGUCUGAACCAGCCAAGUAGCGUGAAGGAUGACUGCCCUAUGGGUUGUAAACUUCUUUUAUAUGGGAAUAAAAUGUUCCACGUGUGGGAUUUUGUAUGUACCAUAUGAAUAAGGAUCGGCUAACUCCGUUCCAGCAGCCGCGGUAAUACGGAGGAUCCGAGCGUUAUCCGGAUUUAUUGGGUUUAAAGGGAGCGUAGGUGGAUUGUUAAGUCAGUUGUGAAAGUUUGCGGCUCAACCGCUAAAUUGCAGUUGAAACUGGCAGUCUUGAGUACAGUAGAGGUGAGCGGAAUUCGUGGUGUAGCGGUGAAAUGCUUAGAUAUCACGAAGAACUCCGAUUGCGAAGGCAGUUCACUGGACUGCAACUGACACUGAGGCUCGAAAGUGUGGGUAUCAAACAGGAUUAGAUACCCUUGUAGUC
rnacentral:rRNA from 1 species